rnacentral:rRNA from 1 species
AGAGCAARAARAUGGSUCAGAACGAACGCUGGCGGCGUGCCUAACACWUGCAAGUCGAGCGCGAACGGGGCAACCCUAGUAGAGCGGCGCACGGGUGCGUAACACGUGGGUAAUCUGCCUGGAAGCCUGGGAUAACCAGUCGAAAGAUUGGCUAAUACCAGAUAAGCCCACAGGCUCUUCGGAGCAAGUGGGAAAAGGUGGCCUCUGUAUACAAGCUAACACUUCCAGAUGAGCCCGCGGCCCAUCAGCUAGUUGGCGGGGUAACGGCCCACCAAGGCGACGACGGGUAGCUGGUCUGAGAGGACGAUCAGCCACACUGGAACUGAGACACGGUCCAGACUCCUACGGGAGGCAGCAGUGGGGAAUUUUGCGCAAUGGGCGAAAGCCUGACGCAGCAACGCCGCGUGUGUGAUGAAGGUCUUCGGAUUGUAAAGCACUUUCGACCGGGACGAAAUGCUUGAGCCCAACACGCUCAGGAGUCGACGGUACCGGGAGAAGAAGCACCGGCUAACUCUGUGCCAGCAGCCGCGGUAAUACAGAGGGUGCAAGCGUUGUUCGGAAUUAUUGGGCGUAAAGCGCGUGUAGGCGGCUUUGCAAGUCGGGUGUGAAAGCCCUCGGCUCAACCGAGGAAGUGCGCCCGAAACUGCAGAGCUUGAGUGCCGGAGAGGGUGGCGGAAUUCCCCAAGUAGAGGUGAAAUUCGUAGAUACGGGGAGGAACACCGGUGGCGAAGGCGGCCACCUGGACGGUGACUGACGCUGAGACGCGAAAGCGUGGGUAGCAAACAGGAUUAGAUACCCUGGUAGUCCACGCCGUAAACGAUGAGAACUAGGUGUCGUGGGUGUUGACCCCCGCGGUGCCGUAGCUAACGCAUUAAGUUCUCCGCCUGGGAAGUACGGUCGCAAGACUAAAACUCAAAGGAAUUGACGGGGGGCCCGCACAAGCGGUGGAGCAUGUGGUUAAUUCGACGCAACGCGCAGAACCCUUACCUGGUCUUUGACAUCCUCGGGAAUCCCGCAGAGACGUGGGGAGUGCCCGCAGGUACCCGAGGACAGGUGCUGCAUGACUGUYCGUCAGCCUUCGGKGUUCGRUUGAGRAARUGUCUG